rnacentral:lncRNA from 10 species
CAGGAGACCAGCACAAAUUUCCUCCACAGGCUCAGGGGAAAGAUCACUUGAUCAUUCAGGAGAACUCCUGUGGUCUGGGAGGACUCAGAGAAUUGGAACAGGCCCGGCUCUGCUGCCAGAUGUUUCUAAGAAAUCCAGUAAUGAAGACAAUCCCAUGAUAUGAUCCACAGAGGAUUGCUGCUUUGCGGGGAGAGGGGGCUAGAAUUGCAGAAGAGCAACAGAGUGAGAAGGAAUUUGCAUCCAGCUCUGACCCUGGGGAAUAUCCCAAUCUUCAACCCUGAAGCAGCAUAUGGAGUCUAGGAAGCGUAUGGGGCCAGGGCAUCUUGAGACAAUGUUCUGCCUACACAAAAUUCUAAACUGAGAGGAGUGGCUCAGAAGCUCUACUAACAUGGAAUCACAUGUGGGUUGCAGGAGGCUGGAGACUAUCCCAGCAGCACAUGGCACAAAGCAAGAACCAGCCCCGGACAGGACGCCAUUCCAUCACAGGUGCACUCACACCCACCAGCACUCACUCAGACUGGGCCCAUUUAGACACACCGAUUCAUCCAACAUGCAUAUCUCUGGGGUGUGGAAGGAAACUGGAUUACCUGGUGAAAACCCACACAGACAUGGGGAGAACAUGCCAGCUCUACACAAACAGUGGCCUGGUGGGGAAUCAAUUUUUUUUUUCUUAUCAGUGUUAUAAAUGAAACAGUGUUGAAGUAAAGGACCUGCUCUACAUUCCAGAAGAGUGAAAAAGCAAACGUAAAAAAGUAUACUUACAGGGGAAGAGAAGCAUAAAAGUCAAGGAAGAAAAGACAAAUGGAUCUAACUGCAUACAGAUUCAAACUUUUGUAUUUCAAAAGUCCUGUAGACAUAAAUUCAUCCUCUAAGGUACCAUAGGAGGUUUCUGAAUAGUAAGAGCUAACAUGUAUUGAAUGCUCACCAGGCACUCUGCUAUGUACUUAAUUUGCUUAUUUUAUUUAAUUCUCACAAGAAUAUUAUGAUUCUACCACAGUUUACUUUUCUCUCCUAUCAUUAGAUGAUAAUUAUUUAUUCUAAUAGAGGGACACUAUAACUAUGAACCUCUAGCUCAGAGGUGCCCGGGAUUUUGCAGCAGUUAGUCGUGGAGCUGAGCUGAAAUGGGUGGUCUCUGUCAAGCCCUCGUCGAUUUACCCAGGAUACUUACUCCUCAUUCUCCCUUUGCAGUGCUUCCUCAGCCAUAAGACUGGCCUGCUUGGCAGUCAUCUGCCCAUCCAUUACUGUGGAAUAGCGUAUCUCACUCCUAUCUCACUCAUCCCGAGGCCAAAGGCUACAGUUUCAUGAACACUGGUUCCCUCUGACUUUUCCUCUAUUGUCUAAGCCAACCCAGGAAAAGGCACCAUAGAAACAGAAAAUAUUAUUAAAGCUCAUAUCACAAAUCCAGGGAUCAUUUCCACUGAGCUGAGACAGAAAACUGAUAUGUUUAUCAGAAAAGAUAACACUUGUCUACAAAGAGUGCUUUCCAGGCCAUAGGAUAAACAGAGGGAGCCGCCAGCUUGACCUCUAGGCAGGGCGUCUGCACGAGGCUGGAGAGUCCGUGCUCUGUCCACCUCCAACAAAAACAGGCUGCUGACUUCAUCCAGCUUCCAGUCCUUUCCCAGACAGGUCCCAGCUCUCGGCCACAGGCUUCCUCCUCUACACAUUUUUAUUAUAAGAAGAUAUUCAAGAAUAAUUAACAAAGUAGAAAUAAAUGAUUUCUCAGAAAAGAUUUAAAAGGCUAAAUAUGUAUAAUGUAAUUAAACAAUGACUAACACUGGCCCCUUCAACAACUUGGCAAUUCCCUUGGGCGAAGGCAUUGUUUAGGCUGGCCUAUGGGCCAAGGAUCACGAGAUGACUCACCCCAACAUGGCCCUCAUCUGUCAGACGCCUCUUCUCCAUUUACUUGUGGAAACAGCAUAGACCUAGACCUGAGUUCAAAUCCUGACUCUGCCACUUAUUUGGCAUGUAGUCUUUAGCAAAAUCCUUAGCCUAAGACUUAAUCCUAACUCUCAGUUUCAUUACCUGUGAAAUGGCAAUAAUAUUUCCUAACUCUUAGAAAUGUUUUGAUGAUUAGUGAUCAUAAAGUAUUCAAGAAAUGUUAUUAGCUUAUUUUCAGAAUUGAGCUUAUUAUUUCCUCAUUCCUACUAUUUUCUCCCAACUCCCCUUUCUGACUCUCUUUUUCUUAAUAGAAAAUUAUCAUAGUAAUAAAUUCACAUGGAUUAAGAAAAAAAGUAAUACUAAAGGGGUAAUGAUAAAAAGCAAGAGUCACAUCUCUCACCCUUUUCAAACUGAGCCUUACUCUACAAAAGUAACUAUUUUUAACAUUUUCUUCUGGUAGUUAUCUCCAUAUUUCAGAUAAUAUGCUUAUAUAAGUUUUUCAUUUUUAAAUAAAAUUUGUACAUGCUAAAUAAAAUUCCAAAAAAAAAGUGCAAAACGGACCAUGUGUGCUUGCCAUGAACACGUGCCUCUCAGGUAUUUGAGUGAUUGACCAAGGGCCCCAGUGCUAUAUUCUGAAAUCCAUCCCCACACACAGAGGCCAUGAUUCAAGGGUGUGAGGGAUACUAAGGCAGGACCAUUCUUGGGAGAUGAGGGACUCCUUAGAAGAGCAACUUUGGCUUGAGCACUGUCCAUCAGCUUUGCUGAAACCUCCUUAGACUGCACCACAUCUAACAUUUUUCCUACCCAACCUUCCUUCUUUCACAGACUUGCAUCAUGGUCUCCAGAGGAGACUCAGUCUCCUGGGCUCUUCCACCUCCCUCCCCAUUUUCCCUCACAGAUGUUCCCCAAUAAAUCUCUUGCACUUAUCCUGCCUUGACAUCAGCUCCUUGGAAGACCUGAACUAACACAGUGGUGCCAAGAGUGGUCUGAGAAUAGGGGCAAUAAAAUGAGGUUCUGAGACUGACUCCCAAAAGACAAGUGAGCAAAGAGGACACUAUCCUGAAUGUUGUGUGUAGCACAGAUGGUCUCCAACAUGCAGUGGUGAUCUAAUCACUGGAAAAUGUCUCCAUGAAGGGAGAUGUCAUGGCAGAUGCAAUGAGUCAAGCAUUUGAAAAACUUUGGGGGAAACAGUGUCUACAAAGACAGUGGGGUGUCCAGUUAUAGCUAAAAUGUACUGACUCCCUGCAGAGAGAUUAUAAGGAACAAGGGCCAUUAAUAAGCAGUUGAAGACUAAAUGUGAGAGCCAGAAGGCCUCUUUGGUAGCUUACAAAGAUGCAGCUAAGAAUAGAAUGAG